rfam:Brachypodium distachyon strain Bd21 chromosome 4, whole genome shotgun sequence.
CAAAUACUCUCUCCGUCCCAUAUUAAGUGACUUUCUAUUACAUGUAUCUAGACGCUUUUUAGACAUAGAUACAUCCAUAUUUGGAUAAAUUUGAGUCACUUAAUAUGGGACGGAGGGAGUACAAG